GACGUAGGGCGCGAGCGUUGUCCGGAUUUAUUGGGCGUAAAGAGCUCGUAGGCGGCUUGUCGCGUCGACUGUGAAAACCCGCGGCUCAACUGCGGGCCUGCAGCCGAUACGGGCAGGCUAGAGUUCGGUAGGGGAGACUGGAAUUCCUGGAUGUAGCGGUGAAAUGCGUAGAUAUCUGGAGGAACACCGGUGGCGAAGGCGGCAUCCUGGACCGAGAUUGACGCUGAGGCGGCGAAAGCUAGGGUAGCAAACGGG
rnacentral:rRNA from 1 species